AGCAGACGGGUCAACCCGACUGGUCCGGCGAACUCCGGCCACCGCACGACGCCGGGAUCUCCAGAUACGCUUGUCUCGACGGCGCCAUCCUCCCUAUGUCGACAUGUAGAUGAUUGGAGCAGAGAUUAAGGGAUUGGAAAUUUGAGUUCUCCAUCUCCAUUGUUCAUCAUCUUCCAAUUCGAUUGGAUCAUGAUUCUCUAUAGUUUUUAGCUCAUCGAAUCGAAUAAGAGUUUAAUUAGAACGUUAAGGGAAGCAUGAAGAGAAGUUGUGGAGGAACUCGACUGCAGGACUGAGGUCAAUUCGAUUUCAUUGAAUCACGAAUUUAGAGGAGAAGAAGGAUUUACACUUUGGAACUGAAGCCAUGAAUUAGAUAAAGGCAGCAGCGCCGCUUUACCUCUGUCUUGGCUGUAGAGAUCAAUUUUCGAAUUGAUACAGAAG